rnacentral:piRNA from 1 species
GAAUUGAACUCAGGACCUCUGGA